rnacentral:rRNA from 1 species
AUGAAUGAGAUGUUGACGCCCUGUAUGCUCCAUGUAUCAUUCUUCCCACAUAAUGGAUGCGAUCUCUUCUGCCGCUACGUCUCCGUUCGACUCGCCAAGUACUGGUCUCCUUCAAGCUACAACCCCAAGGCGAGCUCUGGUGGUCAAGCUGAUGCUUCUUCGCCUCAUGUUGAAGAAAAGGAUGAUAAGGAUGUCCAUGCUCGAGUGACCAGGAAUAAUUGGGGAUCCUCAGAUAACUUCCGAAGCGAGGAGUUAAUCUUCGACAUAGUCCCGUUUCGCAAUGGCUAUCACGCACUGCUUGGACGAACUGCAUUUGCAAAGUUCAAUGCGGUGCCGCACUAUGCAUACCUCAAGCUCAAGAUGCUAGGCCCUCGAGGAGUCAUUACGGUCAAAGGAAACAUCGAACGCUCUCUCUGA